GGGGGGGGGGGAUUUAUUUAUUUAUUUAUUUAUUUAUUUAUUUAUUUAUUUAUUUAUUUAUUUAUUUAUUUUUAGGUUAUCAAAAACAUGUCACUGGCAAACAGAGAUAGUGUCUCCCUUUGACAAUUUGUCCCAUCCAUAAAAGACUAAAUAUUAUGAAGAAUUUAUACCAGAAUUGCUGUGAGGGAAGUUCAGGUAUAGAUGUCUUACUCUAAAUUAACUCUCCACCGUAACAAAUGUAACCAUAACACCCAAAACAGCUCCGGCCGCCACCCAGCAUGGAUCCCAUGGCUAUCUGCAAGCCUCAGCUCAUUGAAAAGCAUGGGGGGAAGAAGCGUUCAAAUUGUGGACAUGAGGAACAGGCAUCCAUGCUGAACAAGCAGGUGUUGAAGUAGCUGUGAUUCCACUGGAAGCUCGAGCAGGGAGAGAGGAGAGUGAUGAAGACCCUUAGCCCCCAGGGAAGAUCUCUGUUCCCAGACAUGAAGAUGAUCUCAGAGAUAGAUGAAGAAAACUUCUGCUUCUAAAAAGUUCAUUCUCAAAAGCAUACCACAUCAGCCAAAGAUUGAGCCCUCGAAAACAGUUGUGGGGAAAGCUGUAAGUCAAGGGGAGGGUCUUUUACAGUGAUCAGAUUUCUGAUCUCUGGGUGGCUGAUUCACUGUGACAUUGAAGCCACAAGAGAACAGUUUCUUGUGGAGAAGUCUCCAUAGCAUGACAAGAGAGACUCCUCUCCCCAAGCAAAUUAAAGAAAGACUAUUUUAGCUGUGAUAAACUGACUGAAUUGUUUCUGUACAUUGUCAGAGGGAAAGAAAAGAGAGUGUGUGGGGGGGAGAAGCACUCUGAAAGUUUUAUUCUGAUUGUUAUUAUUCUUUUUGUUCUGUUAAUAAAAUUUUUCUUUAUACCCUUUAAAGUGUAAGCCUGCAUUGCCUUGCUCCUAAUCCUAUCUCACAGCAGGAAAUGAGUAAAUAGUUCUGGUGAGUGCACUAGCUAUUUAGCCAGCACUAAACCCAUCACAUAAAUUAGUGCAUUAGCCAAAAAAAUCUCAAAUUAGCAAACCAAUAUCUCUACAAAGGGAAAGUAAAAUUUCUGGAAAACAGUAAGAGAAAUCUUUGCUUUUUAUGAAGCCCCUCUAGUGAAAACAAAAUUACCAGAUUCAC
rnacentral:lncRNA from 1 species